rnacentral:rRNA from 1 species
UACGUAGGGUGCAAGCGUUGUCCGGAAUUAUUGGGCGUAAAGAGCUUGUAGGCGGUUUGUUGCGUCUGCUGUGAAAUUUCGGGGCUCAACCCCGAACUUGCAGUGGGUACGGGCAGACUAGAGUGUGGUAGGGGAGACUGGAAUUCCUGGUGUAGCGGUGAAAUGCGCAGAUAUCAGGAGGAACACCGGUGGCGAAGGCGGCGACCUGGGUAGAUACUGACGCUGAGGCGCGAAAGCGUGGGGAGCAAACAGG